rnacentral:rRNA from 1 species
GACAGAGGUCCCAAGCGUUGUUCGGAUUCACUGGGCGUAAAGGGUGCGUAGGCGGUCGGGUAAGUCUGACGUGAAAUCUUCAAGCUUAACUUGGAAACUGCGUCGGAUACUAUUCGGCUGGAGGAAUGGAGGGGAGACUGGAAUACUUGGUGUAGCAGUGAAAUGCGUAGAUAUCAAGUGGAACACCAGUGGCGAAGGCGAGUCUCUGGACAUUUCCUGACGCUGAGGCACGAAAGCCAGGGGAGCAAACGGG